rnacentral:sRNA from 1 species
GCUGGGCGUGGUGGUGCACGCCUAUAGUCCCAGUGGCUCAGGAGGCUGAGACAGAAGGAUUGCGAGUUCAAAGCCAGCCAGCAAUGGGGAGGUGCUAAGCAGCUCAGUAAGACUCUGUCUCUA